rfam:Puccinia triticina 1-1 BBBD Race 1 supercont2.986, whole genome shotgun sequence.
GUGUACUUAGCUCAAUGGUUAGAGCAUCACUCAUGAAUGCUGAGUAUGUGAGUUUGACUCUCACAGUACACG